CGACGACUGCAAGUCAUAUAGCUGCAUGUCCUACCACUAUCUACUCAAGAAUAGUCUGACUUUAAUGGCACGCACUGCAGAUGACGAAGGUGAUAAUUUCCCCUGAAAGGCCAGCGUAGCUUGGCAUGACAUUCAAGUGACAAACUUUGAAGGUGGUGUGAAGGAGGUCCGCUGCGCUGUAAGUUUCAGAUUGACCAGUGGUGUGCACAGCACAGUGGAAAAGACGAUGAAAAAGCGCUGCUCCACCUCCACAAAGGAAGAAAGUACUAUGCAAAUUGCAAGGAAGAGAAGGGCAACGGUUGAACAAAAGGGUAGGUCCAAUGCAGUGAAUUAAAUCCCCAUUAUUUUCUUCUUCUAUUACAUCACAUCACA